rnacentral:rRNA from 2 species
GACGAACGCUGACGGCGUGCCUAAUACAUGCAAGUCGAACGAACUCUGGUAUUGAUUGGUGCUUGCAUCAUGAUUUACAUUUGAGUGAGUGGCGAACUGGUGAGUAACACGUGGGAAACCUGCCCAGAAGCGGGGGAUAACACCUGGAAACAGAUGCUAAUACCGCAUAACAACUUGGACCGCAUGGUCCGAGUUUGAAAGAUGGCUUCGGCUAUCACUUUUGGAUGGUCCCGCGGCGUAUUAGCUAGAUGGUGAGGUAACGGCUCACCAUGGCAAUGAUACGUAGCCGACCUGAGAGGGUAAUCGGCCACAUUGGGACUGAGACACGGCCCAAACUCCUACGGGAGGCAGCAGUAGGGAAUCUUCCACAAUGGACGAAAGUCUGAUGGAGCAACGCCGCGUGAGUGAAGAAGGGUUUCGGCUCGUAAAACUCUGUUGUUAAAGAAGAACAUAUCUGAGAGCAACUGUUCAGGUAUUGACGGUAUUUAACCAGAAAGCCACGGCUAACUACGUGCCAGCAGCCGCGGUAAUACGUAGGUGGCAAGCGUUGUCCGGAUUUAUUGGGCGUAAAGCGAGCGCAGGCGGUUUUUUAAGUCUGAUGUGAAAGCCUUCGGCUCAACCGAAGAAGUGCAUCGGAAACUGGGAAACUUGAGUGCAGAAGAGGACAGUGGAACUCCAUGUGUAGCGGUGAAAUGUGUAGAUAUAUGGAAGAACACCAGUGGCGAAGGCGGCUGUCUGGUCUGUAACUGACGCUGAGGCUCGAAAGUAUGGGUAGCAAACAGGAUUAGAUACCCUGGUAGUCCAUACCGUAAACGAUGAAUGCUAAGUGUUGGAGGGUUUCCGCCCUUCAGUGCUGCAGCUAACGCAUUAAGCAUUCCGCCUGGGGAGUACGGCCGCAAGGCUGAAACUCAAAGGUAUUGACGGGGGCCCGCACAAGCGGUGGAGCAUGUGGUUUAAUUCGAAGCUACGCGAAGAACCUUACCAGGUCUUGACAUACUAUGCAAAUCUAAGAGAUUAGACGUUCCCUUCGGGGACAUGGAUACAGGUGGUGCAUGGUUGUCGUCAGCUCGUGUCGUGAGAUGUUGGGUUAAGUCCCGCAACGAGCGCAACCCUUAUUAUCAGUUGCCAGCAUUAAGUUGGGCACUCUGGUGAGACUGCCGGUGACAAACCGGAGGAAGGUGGGGAUGACGUCAAAUCAUCAUGCCCCUUAUGACCUGGGCUACACACGUGCUACAAUGGAUGGUACAACGAGUUGCGAACUCGCGAGAGUAAGCUAAUCUCUUAAAGCCAUUCUCAGUUCGGAUUGUAGGCUGCAACUCGCCUACAUGAAGUCGGAAUCGCUAGUAAUCGCGGAUCAGCAUGCCGCGGUGAAUACGUUCCCGGGCCUUGUACACACCGCCCGUCACACCAUGAGAGUUUGUAACACCCAAAGUCGGUGGGGUAACCUUUUAGGAACCAGCCGCCUAAGGUGGGACAGAUGAUUAGGGUG